UAUUCCUUUAAGUCAGAUUUCCACUCACAAAUUCCACUCACACUGUAUAAAAUAGCAACUCCAUCAACUCCAGAUUCUCACCCUUGGAACAGCUCUUAUUUGUCUACAUCUUAUAACGUAUAACGAACGUAUACAAAUGUGUCUUUAUAUUGAAAUACCCAUGUCAUAUCCAUGGAAACAAGCGAUAAACAGAGGUUACUGUCUUGUGAUGUUAUUAAGAGCUAAGGAAUUAAAACCGGGAUGCGAAACUGAGCCACAACAUCAGUAUUUAGGUAGUUGCGCGUUCACGUGUUACAUCAUAUCGAGACGCGCUUCGCGGAGGCGCGCAGACUGAAGUUUUUUUUUUUUUUUUUUUUUGAUUAGCUGAGGACUUUUUCUUCUUGGCUCUAAAGUUAUCUAGACAUAGCUAAGAUAAUGGGUGCAUAUUCAAGACGCGACUUGUUUUGUGAAAUCUAUUAUUAAUUGUAUCCGCUUACUUAGAAAACUAUUGUGUGUGUGAAUGCACCUUUUAUGUAGAGGAGAUAAAGGCAUUGAGAUCCAUCUCAGACGGUUGAAGAAAAUGAUUCACGCGCUCGUUGUGUUCUUUUUAUGCUUUGUUCCUCUGAUUGGAGUGUUUGGCGCUGAGACAGAUGAGACCGUGUCAGCGAUGGAGGGAGAUUCUUUCACUCUCAGAACCGGUCUUACUGAAAUACAGAGAGAUGAUGAGAUCGAGUGGAGGUUUGGAUCGAGCAGAACUCGUAUAAAACCAGAAUAGCAGCAGGAAACAUCACAACAUACAAUGACGAGAAAUUUAGAGACAGACUGCAGAUCGAAAGACAGACUGGAGAUCUCACCAUCACAAACAUCACUAACGAACACACUGGAGUUUAUCAGCUCAGCAUCAUUAUCAGGAACAAGAAGUCAACCAAGCGAUUCGCUGUCAGUGUUUAUGCUCAUGUGCCUGUUCCUGCAAUCUUCAGUGAUACUUCGCACUGUGCUUUAUCGGCUGAAAGAUCAUCGACGAUCUUCCUGUGUUCAGUGUUGAAUGUGAGUCAUGUGACUCUCUCCUGGUACAAAGGAAACAGUUUAUUGUCCAGCAUCAGUGUGUCGGAUCUCAGCAUCAGUCUCUCUCUUCCUCUGGAGGUGGAAUAUCAGGAUAUAAACAGCUACAGGUGUAGUGAACAAUCCUGUCAGCAACCAGACCACACAUCUGGACAUCAGUGAACUCUGUCAAAUACAUUCAGACUGCGACCUUUGUUUCGACUCUCCUGAAGCUGUGAUCCGACUGGUCGUCACUGCUUUGAUAAGUGUAGCUGCUGUGGCCGCUGUUGUUCUUCUGGUUAAUGACGUCAGAAGAAUCGGAAGAUCACAGACAAUGAAACGGUGAUGUACUUCAUAUUGUACAGCAAUAAUAAACAGUUUGUUUCUUUCUC